AGCUCAGUGUGUAGAGCAUGGUGUUUGCAACGCCAGGGUUGUGGGUUCGAUUCCCAC
rnacentral:tRNA from 1 species